CUCUUCUUCUAUUUCUCCUCUUCUUCUACUUCUUCUUCUACUUCUACUUCUCCUCUUCUUCUACUACUUCUCCUCUUCUCUUCUUCUACUUCUCCUCUCCUCCUCUUUUAAUUUUUUCUCUUCUUCUACUUCCCCUCUUCUUCUAUUUUCCUCUUCUUCUCCUCUCCUCCUCUUCUUAUUCUCCUUUUUCUUCUUUUCUUCUCCUCCUCUUCUUAUUUUCCUUUUUCCUAAUUCUAAAUAUUACUAACCUAAUAAUCUAGCACAAACCUAAUAACA
rnacentral:lncRNA from 1 species